rnacentral:rRNA from 1 species
GCCUAAGGCCGGCGGAAGAAGUAUUGCCAAGGAACUCGGCAAAAUGGCCCCGUAACUUAGGGAGAAGGGGUGCCUGCGAGAGCAGGCCGCAGAGAAUAGGCUCAAGCAACUGUUUAGCAAAAACACAGGUCUAUGCGAAGCCGAAAGGUGGGGUAUAUGGGCUGACGCCUGCCCGGUGCUGGAAGGUUAAGAGGAGAGGUUAGACGCAAGUCGAAGCUUUGAAUUUAAGCCCCAGUAAACGGCGGCCGUAACAAUAACGGUCCUAAGGUAGCGAAAUUCCUUGUCGGGUAAGUUCCGACCCGCACGAAAGGCGUAAUGAUUUGAGCGCUGUCUCGGCAAUACAUCCGGUGAAAUUGAAGUGCCAGUGAAGAUGCUGGCUACCCGCGCCAGGACGGAAAGACCCCAUGGAGCUUUACUCCAGUUUGGCACUGGGGUCCGGUGUUGCAUGUACAGGAUAGGUGGGAGGCUGAGAGAUAGUGACGUCAGUUGCUAUGGAGCCGCUGUUGGGAUACCACCCUUGUGAUAUUGGGCUUCUAACCAGCCGCCGUAAUCCGGCGGUGGGACAAUGCCAGGCGGGGAGUUUGACUGGGGCGGUCGCCUCCGAAAGGGUAUCGGAGGCGCCCAAAGGUUCCCUCAGAAUGGACGGAAACCAUUCGAAGAGUGCAAAGGCAGAAGGGAGCUUGACUGCGACACCGACGGGUGGAGCAGGUACGAAAGUAGGGCUUAGUGAUCCGGUGGUAUUAAGUGGGAAUGCCAUCGCUCAACGGAUAAAAGCUACCCUGGAUAACAGGCUUAUCACUCCCAAGAGUUCACAUCGACGGAGUGGUUUGGCACCUCGAUGUCGGCUCAUCGCAUCCUGGGGCUGUAGUAGGUCCCAAGGGUUGGGCUGUUCGCCCAUUAAAGCGGUACGCGAGCUGGGUUCAGAACGUCGUGAGACAGUUCGGUCCCUAUCCGGCGUGGGCGUAGGAUAUCUGAGAGGAGCUGUCCUUAGUACGAGAGGACCGGGAUGGACGGACCGCUGGUGGACCGGUUGGCUUGCCAAAGCCAUGGCCGGGUAGCCAAGUCCGGAAGGGAUAAACGCUGAAGGCAUCUAAGCGUGAAGCCCCCCUCAAGAUGAGAUAUCCCAUUCUUUAAGAAGUAAACCCCCUUGAAGACGACGAGGUAGAUAGGGCAGAGGUGGAAGUGUGGUAACACAUGGAGCCGACUGUUACUAAUCGGGUGAGGGCUUGAGC